GGUAGGUUAGUUCAGUGGAUAGAGCUUAGGGCUUGUAACUGAAAGGUCCUAGUUUCGAAUCUCGCCAAAAUA
rnacentral:tRNA from 1 species